AACAGACGACGAGUCGGACAGACGAGAGCAGACAGACAGUGGACGUGGACAUGGAUCAGCUGUUGGUGCUGUUGCUGUUGCUGUGGAGCUCAGGACUGCAGACUGAAGGAAAACACAACUCAACAGAGUCUGUCAGGUUGGUGGGAGGAGACAGUCGCUGUGCAGGAACACUGGAGGUGGAACAUCAGAAUGAAUGGAGACCAGUGAUUGGCCCUUACUGGACCCUGAAGGAAAGCAGCUGUUGUCUGCAGAGAACUGGACUGUGGUUCUGCUGUUUCUGUAGGAGAGAGAAAGGAGUCCUCACACAGAUCUGUGUGGGAGAUCUACUCUGACUGUGUUCAGUCUGGAUCUGCUCUGAGGGAGUGUGUUACACCAAGUUCUUCUUCCAUCAUCCUGAUUCUCACCUGUUCAGGUCCUGUGUGUGCAUCAGUGGCUGCUGACUCAAACAUUGUGGAGGACAGGAGGAAAACCAACCCACAG